AAUAGAUACCCGGGUAGUCCACCCCGUAAACGUUGGGAACUAGUUGUGGGUCCUUUCCACGGAUUCCGGUGACGCAGCUAACGCAUUAAGUUCCCCGCCUGGGGAGUACGGCCGCAAGGCUAAAACUCAAAGGAAUUGACGGGGACCCGCACAAGCGGCGGAGCAUGCGGAUUAAUUCGAUGCAACGCGAAGAACCUUACCGAGGCUUGACAUACACCAGAACACCCUAGAAAUAGGGGACUCUUUGGACACUGGUGAACAGGUGGUGCAUGGUUGUCGUCAGCUCGUGUCGUGAGAUGUUGGGUUAAGUCCCGCAACGAGCGCAACCCUCGUUCUAUGUUGCCAGCACGUAAUGGUGGGAACUCAUGGGAUACUGCCGGGGUCAACUCGGAGGAAGGUGGGGAUGACGUCAAAUCAUCAUGCCCCUUAUGUCUUGGGCUUCACGCAUGCUACAAUGGCCGGUACAAAGGGCUGCAAUACCGUGAGGUGGAGCGAAUCCCAAAAAGCCGGUCCCACGUUCGGUAGUUGAGGUCGUGCAACUCGACCUCA
rnacentral:rRNA from 1 species